CUGAAACUGUUUGUAGAGGAGAAUUCUCAGGUGCCGUCCAUUUAUUGCAGUAGUGACGGCUAUGGGUUUUGAUAAACAUUAAUCAUCAAUAUUUAUUGAUUACAGUAAACAAGGUUGAAAGAGCGAAAGCUCGAGAGCAGUGGUGGUACUUCAUCCGGGGUAACUAUAACAUGGCAGUCGACACAUUCCUUCUGCUCAGUGGUUUGUUGGUGACGUACCUCUUCAUGAAGCAAAUGAAGAAGACGGGUGGACAGUUUACAUGGAGAGACUAUGGUCUACACGUCUUACACCGUUAUUUCAGGUUGACACCAGUGUUUGC